GACGAACGCUGGCGGCGUGCCUAAUACAUGCAAGUAGGACGCAGUUGCGAACGGGUGAGUAACGCGUAGGUAACUGCCUAUUAGAGGUGGAUAACUAUUGGAAACGAUAGCUAAUACCGCAUACUAGUAGAUGGACCUUCGUUGUAUUAGCUAGUAGGUAGGGUAAUAGCCUACCUAGGCAACGAUACCUAGCCGACCUGAGAGGGUGAGCGGCCACACUGGUACUGAGACACGGCCCAGACUCCUACGGGAGGCAGCAGUAGGGAAUCUUCGGCAAUGGGGGGAACACUGACCGAGCAACGCCGCGUGAGUGAAGAAGGUUUUCGGAUCGUAAAGCUCUGUUGUUAAGGAAGCGGUACUUAACCAGAAAGGGACGGCUAAAUACGUGCCAGCAGCCGCGGUAAUUC
rnacentral:rRNA from 1 species